UUUUUAGCUCACCUGGCCCGAAGGGCCAAGUGAGCUUUUCUCAUCACUUGGCGUCCGGCGUCCGGCGUCCGUCGUCCGUCGUCCGUCGUCGUCGUCGUCGUCGUCGUCGUUAACUUUUACAAAAAUCUUCUCCUCUGAAACUACUGGGCCAAAUCAAACCAAACUUGGCCACAAUCAUCAUUGGGGUAUCUAGUUUAAAAAAUGUGUGGCGUGACCCGGUCAACCAACCAAGAUGGCCGCCACGGCUAAAAAUAGAACAUAGGGGUAAAAUGCAGUUUUUGGCUUAUAACUCAAAAACCAAAGCAUUUAGAGCAAAUCUGACAUGGGGUAAAAAUGUUUAUCAGGUCAAGAUCUAUCUGGCCUGAAAUUUUCAGAUGAAUCGGUCAAUCGGUUGUUGGGUUGCUGCCCCUGAAUUGGUAAUUUUGAGGAAAUUUUGCUGUUUUUGGUUAUUAUCUUGAAUAUUAUUAUAGAUAGAGAUAAACUGUAAACAGCAAUAAUGUUCAGCAAAGUAAGAUCUACAAAUAAGUCAACAUGACCAAAAUGGUCAGUUGACCCGUUUAGGAGUUAUUGCCCUUUAUAGUCAAUUUUUAACCAUUUUUCGUAAAUUAAAGUAAUCUUUUACAAAAAUCUUCUCCUCUGAAACUACUGGGCCAAAUUAAUUCAAACUUGGCCACAAUCAUCUUUGGGGUAUCUAGUUUAAAAAAUGUGUGGCGUGACCUGGUCAACCAACCAAGAUGGCCGCCACUGCUAAAAAUAGAACAUAGGGGUAAAAUGCAGUUUUUGGCUUAUAACUCAAAAACCAAAGCA
rnacentral:lncRNA from 1 species